AGUAGUUUGAUCCUGGCUCAGGAUGAACGCUGGCGGCUGCUUAACACAUGCAAGUCGAACGGACCCAUAUUGAAACCUAGUGAUAUAUGGGUUAGUGGCGGACGGGUGAGUAACGCGUGGGCAACCUGCCUUACACAGGGGGAUAACACUUAGAAAUAGGUGCUAAAACCGCAUAAGCGCACAGCUUCGCAUGAAGCGGUGUGAAAAACUCCGGUGGUGUAAGAUGGACCCGCGUCUGAUUAGCUUGUUGGCGGGGUAACGGGCCCACCAAGGCGACGAUCAGUAGCCGGCCUGAGAGGGCGGACGGCCACAUUGGGACUGAGACACGGCCCAGACUCCUACGGGAGGCAGCAGUGGGGAAUAUUGCACAAUGGGGGGAACCCUGAUGCAGCGACGCCGCGUGAGUGAAGAAGUAAUUCGUUACGUAAAGCUCUAUCAGCAGGGAAGAAAAUGACGGUACCUGAGUAAGAAGCCCCGGCUAACUACGUG
rnacentral:rRNA from 1 species